rnacentral:tRNA from 1 species
GUUUUCAUUGUGUAGUUGGAAAGCACGUCUGUCUGGUAAUCGGAACGUCCGGCGAUCGAAUCCCGGUGAGAGUA